CUCAUUCUCAAGAGGCAGUGAGAACCAGUGCCCACAGCUGACUUCUAGACUUCUUACAGACUUGAAGAAGCCUUUGGCCCCAUCAUGGCCCAUCAACAGUUUACCAGUAAGCUUCAAGAGGAAGUGAUUUGCCCCAUAUGCAUGGAUAUUCUGCAGCACCCUGCUACCAUCGACUGUGGGCACAACUUCUGCCUCAGUUGCAUCACUCAGAGUGGAGAAGCAGAAGACAGUGUUCUUAAAUGUCCCCUCUGCAACAAAAUUGUGAGGAGGGACACGAUCACGCCUAACUGGCUCUUGGUAAAUCUGGUGGAGAAAAUCCAAUCUAUGGAGCCCUCGGAGAUGCAGCCAGAAACGGAAGAGCUGAGAUGUCUAAGGCAUGGAGAGAAAUGUCAUUACUUCUGUGAGGUUGAUGGCAAGUUUCUCUGCGUGGUGUGUUGUGGAUCCAAGGAUCACAAAACCCACAACACAACUCUGAUAGAAGAAGCUGCCCAGAGUUAUCAGGGGCGGAUCCAAUCACAAAUCGAGGUCUUGCAGCAAAAGGAGAGAGAGAUAAUUCAGAUGAAGGCACAAGGUGAACACAAGAUCAAUGUCUCCAUGGCCCAGGUGGAAUUAGAGAAGCAGAAGGUCACCACAACCUUCAGACAGCUGCGUCAGGUGCUAAAGGAGGAGAAGAGCUUCCUCUUGUCCCGGAUCAACUGGCUAGGAAAGGAGAUCUCCAAGGGGCAGAAAUUCUAUGUCACUUCUACUGAGACACAGCUGAACUAUCUCAGGAAGCUUACGGAUUCUCUGAAGUCCAGACAGUGUUUGCCGCCAGGCCAGCUGCUCCAGGACAUCAAAAUUGCCUUGUACAGAAGUGAAGGAUUUCACUUUCUCAACCCAACCCCUGUUUCAAUGGACCUGGAGAAAAAACUCAGUGACAUCAAAUCACGGCAUGAUUCCCUCACAGAGAGCCUGAAGAGAUUCAAAGACAAUCUCCAGGCUGACAGCAAGAAAGAUAAAAGCAAAUUCCUCAGAGGCAUGACUGAGGGAGACAGAAAGAGCUGGUACCUGUCAGAGAAAAAUGAUCCUAAGACAAACAAAACUUCAGAGCCUGAGUCGACCCCUCCAGUUGACAGAACAACUAAAACAGUGCUGCCAAAUACCAUACUCUCAAUUUCACUCAGCCCACUCUUCCGGAGCAGAAACAGGGCCUCUUUUGUUUCUUACUCACCAAACCUGGACAGCUCUGAGAACCUGGGGAGCCCUGAAGCUACGAAUAUUGAAGAGCUCAAGACGGUGAUAUACCCACUGACCCUGGAUGCGGCUUCGGCUCACCCAGAUCUCAUCAUUUCCCAGGAUCUGAAGACAGUGACGCUGAACCCGGAUCUUCAGAGAGUCUGCGCUGAGCACACCGACCCCGAGCGCUUCUAUCCGUUCCGCUGUGUUCUGGGCUUGCCAGGCCUCAGCUCCGGCUGCCAGACCUGGGAGGCAGAGCUCCAAGGGCCCGGGGGCGGGGGCUGCGUGGUGGGCGUGGCCUCGGAGCUAGUACCCAGGAAGGGCAUGCUGCAGAUAGAGCCCUUGAGCGGCUUUUGGGCGCUGCGCAUGGCGGGCUCCCAGUGCCAGGCGCUUACGGAGGCGGGCACCCGCGAGGAUCUCUCGGUCUGUCCCAGGAAAGUGGGCGUCUGCGUGAAUCACGAGUGCGGCAAGGUCGUGUUCUACGACGCCACCACGAGCAAGCACCUCUACACCUUCCACGCCUCGUUUCCAGGGCAGAUCUUCCCCUUUUUCCGGCUCCUGUUUCCCGGGACCCAGAUCACUCUGAGUCCCUAG
rnacentral:lncRNA from 1 species